rnacentral:rRNA from 2 species
CAAAUGCCAGUCGAGCGGACUUGUAGGAGCUUGCUCCUGCAGGUUAGCGGCGGACGGGUGAGUAACACGUGGGCAACCUACCUAUAAGACUGGGAUAACUUCGGGAAACCGGAGCUAAUACCGGAUGACAUAAAGGAACUCCUGUUCCUUUAUUGAAAGAUGGCUUCGGCUAUCACUUAUAGAUGGGCCCGCGGCGCAUUAGCUAGUUGGUGAGGUAACGGCUCACCAAGGCGACGAUGCGUAGCCGACCUGAGAGGGUGAUCGGCCACACUGGGACUGAGACACGGCCCAGACUCCUACGGGAGGCAGCAGUAGGGAAUCUUCCGCAAUGGACGAAAGUCUGACGGAGCAACGCCGCGUGAACGAUGAAGGCCUUCGGGUCGUAAAGUUCUGUUGUUAGGGAAGAACAAGUGCUAGUUAAAUAAGCUGGCACCUUGACGGUACCUAACCAGAAAGCCACGGCUAACUACGUGCCAGCAGCCGCGGUAAUACGUAGGUGGCAAGCGUUGUCCGGAAUUAUUGGGCGUAAAGCGCGCGCAGGCGGUUUCUUAAGUCUGAUGUGAAAGCCCCCGGCUCAACCGGGGAGGGUCAUUGGAAACUGGGAAACUUGAGUGCAGAAGAGGAAAGUGGAAUUCCAAGUGUAGCGGUGAAAUGCGUAGAGAUUUGGAGGAACACCAGUGGCGAAGGCGACUUUCUGGUCUGUAACUGACGCUGAGGCGCGAAAGCGUGGGGAGCAAACAGGAUUAGAUACCCUGGUAGUCCACGCUGUAAACGAUGAGUGCUAAGUGUUAGAGGGUUUCCGCCCUUUAGUGCUGAAGUUAACGCAUUAAGCACUCCGCCUGGGGAGUACGGUCGCAAGACUGAAACUCAAAGGAAUUGACGGGGGCCCGCACAAGUGGUUGGAGCAUGUGGUUUAAUUCGAAGCAACGCGAAGAACCUUACCAGGUCUUGACAUCCUCUGACACCCUAGAAGAUAGGCUUUUCCUUUCGGGGACAGAGUGACAGGUGGUGCAUGGUUGUCGUCAGCUCGUGUCGUGAGAUGUUGGGUUAAGUCCCGCCACGAGCGCAAACCUUUGAUCUUAGUUGCAGCAUUCAAUUUGGCCACUCUAACGGGAACUGGCCGUGGACAACCGGAGCAUGGUGGGAUGUACUCAAUCUCAUUGCCUUAGACCUGGGCUCACCCGGACUACAUGACUACUUACAACGAGAUUUACAAGAC